UACGUAGGGCGCAAGCGUUGUCCGGAAUUAUUGGGCGUAAAGAGCUCGUAGGCGGUCUGUUGCGUCCGCUGUGAAAACCCAGGGCUUAACCCUGGGCUUGCAGUGGAUACGGGCAGACUAGAGGCAGGUAGGGGAGAAUGGAAUUCCCGGUGUAGCGGUGAAAUGCGCAGAUAUCAGGAGGAACACCGAUGGCGAAGGCAGCUCGCUGGGACGGUACUGACGCUGAGGCGCGAAAGCGUGGGGAGCAAACAGG
rnacentral:rRNA from 1 species